AAAUGUCCAAAAAUUAAAAUUAACCGAACAUCUUUCUCUGUUUUAGCGUUAUCUGCUAAAAAAAACUAGUCCAGUGAAAUAUUUGCAGAAAGCUCACUUCACCGGCAACAAUGGAGGCAAUCAUCACUACUUUCCAUCCACUCUCUCUCUUCUCUGACAUCGACCCUUCUUCUUCUUUCUACUUUUCCUCAAAACCCAAUUUCACAAAGCACUCAUUUACCACUUUCCCACUUUCAUUUCCAGCAAUGAUCACUCAUGCGCACAAAUACAACAACUCUCAUUUUUCUUCGUCUAAACCCAAAACGAAGGAUGCUCUUCCUCCCAGAAAAAAUGAGAAAACCCAGAAGCUGAAUUUGCAGGUUUCGCCUCAUAGAGCUGUGGCUGCUGUGAGAUUGAUGCGGAUAGAGUUUGGUGGUGCCUUCGCUGAUCUUCUAAAUGAGAGAGGAAAGGGUUCAGGGAACAAUGAGAUGGAAUAUGUUGAGAGGACUCUUGGAUUUCGCACCAGAGACCUGGAUGAAAGAGAUCUCAGAUUGGUCACUGACAUUGUUGGUGGUUCAAUUCGUUGGAGAAAAUAUCUGGAUUAUCUUAUUGUUUCUUCAUGCCAUGAUGAAAGCUCCUUUAGGAACAUGGAACCUCUCCUGCUACAGAUCCUCAGGAUUGGAUGCUAUGAGAUUGUGAAACUGGAAAUGCCACCAUAUGCUGUUGUUGACGAGAAUGUGAAUCUUGCCAAGUAUGCUCUUAGACCAGGCGCAGGAAACAUGGUGAAUGGGAUCCUCCGAAAGCUAGUUUUCCUUAAGGAUAAUGACUCCCUUCCUGUACCCAAAUUGGAGGGUGAUGAUCGUUCACAAGCACGUGCCCUUGCUACAACUUAUUCCCAUCCCGUGUGGAUGGUAAGACGGUGGACCAAGUAUCUUGGGCAAGAAGGAGCUAUCAAAUUGAUGAUGUGGAACAAUAGUGUUCCGAGUUUCAGCUUGAGGGCCAAUAUUGCAAAAGGAUUAACUCGAGAUGACCUUGUUGUGAAGCUCAACAUGCUGAAGGUCCCGCAUGAGCCUUCCUUGCAUUUGGAUGACUUUGUCUGCAUCAGAAGUGGGAUGCAGAUUGUGAUACAAACUGGACUUCUAAAAGAAGGUUUAUGCUCAGUCCAGGAUGAGAGUGCAGGUCUAGCUGUUUCUGUUCUGGAUCCACAGCCUGGUGAUCACAUCAUUGAUUGCUGUGCUGCUCCUGGAGGGAAGACACUCUUCAUGGCAUCUCGCUUGAAUGGCCAAGGUAUGAUAUCAGCAAUGGACAUAAAUAAAGGUCGGUUACGGAUACUUGAAGAAACAGCCAAGCUGCAGCGUGUUGAUAAUGUGAUCACUUGCAUCCAUGCUGAUCUUCGCUCCUUUUCAGACAGCAACACUUCGAAGUUUGAUAAAGUUCUUUUAGAUGUUCCUUGUUCGGGCCUGGGUGUACUAUCAAAAAGGCCGGAUUUGCGUUGGAAUAGAAAGUCAGAGGAUAUGGAAGAGCUAAAGAAGUUGCAGGACGAGCUGUUCGAUGCUGCUUGCAAGCUGGUCAAACCAGAUGGCGUGCUUGUGUACAGUACCUGCUCCAUUGAUCUUGAAGAAAACGAAGAUAGGGUUUCUGCCUUCCUUCUUAGACAUCCGGACUUCCAAAGAGAUUCUGUAAGCAGAUAUGUUCCAUCUGACUUUUUAACUGAAGAUGGGUUUUAUCGCUCAUGCCCAGUGAAGCAUUCAAUGGAUGGAGCUUUUGCUGCACGUCUAGUUCGACGGCAGAAAGCAUAUGAAACGCCAUGUGAUGUGGUAGCUCCAUAGACGAGUAAAGAGAUAGAGAGAUAGAGAGAAAGGAAAAUCAGCUGAUGAGCUUUGCUCUUUUAUUUUGGAGUGAUUCUAUAUGGAAAAUGAUUCCUGUGAACAGAUGAGAGGGCCGCAAUUAGGCAACUUCACUUGAUGUGGCCUCAGGCCAACACCGGUCUAUUGUUCAUUGAUGAACUUGCUUUGCAUUCAGCCUUUUUCUUUAGUUUGCAACUUUGAGCAAAAGUCGAAUUGGUUUGAGAGGUUUUUCUUCAGUUUGCAACGUCAGCCGAGCUUUCGCUUGUGCGAGUGUAAAAUGAUCAAGUUUCCACUUCCACUGUUAGCUAGCGGCUGCACUUUACAUAGCACAUUAUUGUCUUCAUAUCUUCAAACAAUGGAGCAAGACUUGUGAAUUCUACACUAACUACUCAGAAAAACAACUGUUUAGAAUGCUCGAAGCUUAGGGUGACCAUCCACCAGAAGGCAGGGACCGUGAAGCUAACUUGGGUUCAUAGGAAGUACUAAACUUCGAAGUUUGCUUAUGCUGUAUAAUUCGACCCGGCAAAAUCCAGAGGACUAUACAAGAGAUUUGGUGAUUAACUGAUUACAAUGACAAUUGAAUUGAUAUAAUUAGCAAUUACUAGUAGAGAAAAGAAAUGUUAGAGCCUACGUUUUGAUUUAUUCUCACUCUUGUAUCCAUGAAAACCACAAUAUGUUUCCCUAGGAAUUAAUUGCUUGUAUCAUCUUUUUUCAAUGUUUGAAAUCAUCAGAACUUGAGAUGAAA